rnacentral:rRNA from 1 species
UUUUUUUUUUUAGUUCAAAUAAAAAAAAAAGUUUGCGACCUCGAUGUUGGAUUAAGAUAAAAUUUAAAUGCAAAAGUUUAAAAUUUUGAUCUGUUCGAUCAUUAAAAUC